rnacentral:rRNA from 1 species
UGGGGAAUCUUCCGCAAUGGGCGAAAGCCUGACGGAGCAACGCCGCGUGAGUGAAGACGGCCUUCGGGUUGUAAAGCUCUGUUAUAUGGGACGAACGGGCGUAUGGUCAAUACCCAUACGCCGUGACGGUACCGUAAGAGAAAGCCACGGCUAACUACGUGCCAGCAGCCGCGGUAAUACGUAGGUGGCAAGCGUUGUCCGGAAUCAUUGGGCGUAAAGGGCGCGCAGGCGGUUCGGUAAGUCGGUCUUAAAAGUGCGGGGCUUAACCCCGUGAUGGGAUUGAAACUGCCGGACUGGAGUGUCGGAGAGGAAAGCAGAAUUCCUAGUGUAGCGGUGAA